rnacentral:lncRNA from 1 species
AAAACCGAAGGUCUAACAGAGCAGAAACAAGAUAACCCUCCUCCCUCUCUCUCGAGAAGCUUGAUUUACAACCACCAACUUCCUCCAAUCCGCCACCGCCUAUGACAUCUUUACCGCUAGCAUCUUCUCCGCCCCCUCUGGCCGUUGAUCCGCCUCCACUGACAACUCCAACUCCGUUCAUCUUGUCUACCAUCAGCCACAGCGUUGCCGUCGUCUUCAGGUACUUCGUGACAAAUUGAACUAAAAGACAAAUAAAAUAAGUGAGCCUUUCGGGGUCCUUGUGACAAAUUGUUUACUUCCCUUUAUCAAUUUCAUGAACCAUCCUCCGGAAGCAUAAAUUCCCUUUAAAUGUGGCUGAUGGAAUAUUGUCUUGUCUUCUUCAUUGUAGAUAUAAACUUUGAGCAUCCGUUCCAUCAGCUCAUAACUC